rnacentral:rRNA from 1 species
CUCUGUGUAAAUACCCUGAAGGCACUAGCUCCCUUCUGAUCUCUGAUGCUAGGUAGGGUCACCUCUGGUUAGUACUUUGAUGGGAGACUACCAAUGAAUAGCAGAGGCUACAGGCU